rnacentral:rRNA from 1 species
UGGGGAAUCUUGCACAAUGGGGGCAACCCUGAUGCAGCGACGCCGCGUGAGCGAUGAAGCCCUUCGGGGCGUAAAGCUCUUUCGACCGGAACGAUAAUGACGGUACCGGGAGAAGAAGCUGCGGCUAACUACGUGCCAGCAGCCGCGGUAAUACGUAGGCAGCAAGCGUUGUUCGGAGUUACUGGGCGUAAAGAGUGCGUAGGUGGUUGUUUAAGUCUGAUGUGAAAGCCCUGGGCUCAACCUGGGAAUGGCAUUGGAAACUGGGCAGCUAGAGUGCGGUAGAGGGUAGUGGAAUUCCCGGUGUAGCAGUGAAAUGCGUAGAGAUCGGGAGGAACAUCUGUGGCGAAGGCGACUGCCUGGACCAGCACUGACACUGAGGCACGAAAGCGUGGGGAGCAAACA